UAGGGAAUCUUCGGCAAUGGGGGGAACCCUGACCGAGCAACGCCGCGUGAGUGAAGAAGGUUUUCGGAUCGUAAAGCUCUGUUGUUAAGGAAGAACGAGUGUGAGAAUGGAAAGUUCAUACUGUGACGGUACUUAACCAGAAAGGGACGGCUAACUACGUGCCAGCAGCCGCGGUAAUACGUAGGUCCCGAGCGUUGUCCGGAUUUAUUGGGCGUAAAGCGAGCGCAGGCGGUUAGAUAAGUCUGAAGUUAAAGGCAGUGGCUCAACCAUUGUAGGCUUUGGAAACUGUUUAACUUGAGUGCAGAAGGGGAGAGUGGAAUUCCAUGUGUAGCGGUUAAAUGCGUAGAUAUAUGGAGGAACUCCGGUGGCGAAAGCGGCUCUCUGGUCCGUAACUGACGCUGAGGCUCGAAAGCGUGGGGAGCGAACAGGA
rnacentral:rRNA from 1 species